UCCCCACAAACCCUAGUUCAUGCAGCUUUCCCUCAAAUUGAAGGUUCUAAUCAUCUCUAAAUCAAUUUUCAAGCACAAAUUCGUGAUCACCUCGUUGAAGGGAUCAUAAGGCAAAGAAAUUGAAUCUUCAAGCGGACGAGCCGGAGUUGAUGCGCGCUUGAAGGAAAAGCACUAAAGGUAAUGAUGGGGUCUUUCCGGAUGGCGAUCAAGCGUGUUUUGAAGAACCAAACACGCACUUUUGAAGCUUCC